rnacentral:lncRNA from 1 species
UGAGGGGACAAGACGGCGCUUCACUCAAUCUGGAAGUAUAAUCUGGGAAAUCAGCAGAUGAACAAGGAAGGUGGGGAUGUGGAAGAUUUCAGUAGCAAGAAAGAUGAGACAAAGUUACCAGGUCAGUGGAUUCCAUGCGUGGUGCUCUGAAUAAUGAUUGGAAACUCCAUGGCUCUUGCUAGCUGCUCCACUGCCACCCCAAAUGAUUCAACCAACACAAAUCGAUCAGACUCCCAAGCAAGCAGUGAAGCAGGAGACGUAAGUUUUUAGAUCCAAGCGUACUUUACUUCAGCUGGAAAGAAAUAUACCUUCUUGCUUGCUUCACUCAGAGGUUGGAUGAGCUCACCAAACAAGAAGGUGGAUCGACCUCAUUCCAGGCAGUGCAAUGGAGAAGAGGAGGACUGAGAUGAGAGGAAGGGAGCACUCUGUCGGUGGUGGAGAUGAGGACUGAGGUACAGAGGAAGACCAACAACAGCAAGUCAAGAGAAACACUUUUGACCCCCAUGAACAUGCCUCUGAAUAGUACGUACUGCUUU